UUGAACGCUGGCGGCAGGCCUAACACAUGCAAGUCGAACGGUAACAGGAAGCAGCUUGCUGCUUUGCUGACGAGUGGCGGACGGGUGAGUAAUGUCUGGGAAACUGCCUGAUGGAGGGGGAUAACUACUGGAAACGGUAGCUAAUACCGCAUAACGUCGCAAGACCAAAGAGGGGGACCUUCGGGCCUCUUGCCAUCGGAUGUGCCCAGAUGGGAUUAGCUUGUUGGUGGGGUAACGGCUCACCAAGGCGACGAUCCCUAGCUGGUCUGAGAGGAUGACCAGCCACACUGGAACUGAGACACGGUCCAGACUCCUACGGGAGGCAGCAGUGGGGAAUAUUGCACAAUGGGCGCAAGCCUGAUGCAGCCAUGCCGCGUGUAUGAAGAAGGCCUUCGGGUUGUAAAGUACUUUCAGCGGGGAGGAAGGGAGUAAAGUUAAUACCUUUACUCAUUGACGUUACCCGCAGAAGAAGCACCGGCUAACUCCGUGCCAGCAGCCGCGGUAAUACGGAGGGUGCAAGCGUUAAUCGGAAUUACUGGGCGUAAAGCGCACGCAGGCGGUUUGUUAAGUCAGAUGUGAAAUCCCCGGGCUCAACCUGGGAACUGCAUCUGAUACUGGCAAGCUUGAGUCUCGUAGAGGGGGGUAGAAUUCCAGGUGUAGCGGUGAAAUGCGUAGAGAUCUGGAGGAAUACCGGUGGCGAAGGCGGCCCCCUGGACGAAGACUGACGCUCAGGUGCGAAAGCGUGGGGAGCAAACAGGAUUAGAUACCCUGGUAGUCCACGCCGUAAACGAUGUCGACUUGGAGGUUGUGCCCUUGAGGCGUGGCUUCCGGAGCUAACGCGUUAAGUCGACCGCCUGGGGAGUACGGCCGCAAGGUUAAAACUCAAAUGAAUUGACGGGGGCCCGCACAAGCGGUGGAGCAUGUGGUUUAAUUCGAUGCAACGCGAAGAACCUUACCUGGUCUUGACAUCCACAGAACUUUCCAGAGAUGGAUUGGUGCCUUCGGGAACUGUGAGACAGGUGCUGCAUGGCUGUCGUCAGCUCGUGUUGUGAAAUGUUGGGUUAAGUCCCGCAACGAGCGCAACCCUUAUCCUUUGUUGCCAGCGGUCCGGCCGGGAACUCAAAGGAGACUGCCGGUGAUAAACCGGAGGAAGGUGGGGAUGACGUCAAAUCAUCAUGCCCUUUAUGUCCUGGGCUACACACGUACUACAAUGGGUGUAACAGAGGGAAGCAACACAGUGAUGUGAAGCGAAACCCAAAAAGCACCCCCAGUUCGGAUUGAAGGCUGAAACUCGCCUUCAUGAAGCCGGAAUUGCUAGUAAUGGCAGGUCAGCAUACUGCCGUGAAUACGUUCCCGGGCCUUGUACACACCGCCCGUCACACCAUGAGAGUUGGGGAUACCCGAAGCCUGUGAGCCAACAUAUCUAUGAGGCAGCAGUCGAAGGUAGAAUCAAUGAUUGGGGUG
rnacentral:rRNA from 1 species